UAUUUCUUGGGGGUUGGGGAGGACAUGCAUUUUAAUAAUUCCAUAAUCCAAGCUGCUGCGUUUAUUUUUUUCCUUUUUUAAAGAUUUUAUUUAUUUAUUUGAGAGAGAGAGAGUGAGCAAGAGCAAGAGUGAGCACAAGCAGGAGGAGCAGCAAGCAGAGGGAGGGGGAGAAGCAGGCUCCCCGCUGAGCAGGGAGCCCAAUGUGGGGCUUGAUCCCAAGACCCUGGGAUCAUGAUCAUGACCUGAGCCUGAGGGGGACACUUAAACCACUGAGCCACCCAGGCGUCCCCAAAUUGCUGCGUUUAAAGCAAGAUAGCGAAGGCAUAUGUGAUCUCAGUCUCCUUACUGCACUCUCUUCCAGGCAUCACAGAAGGUUGAAUGUAAGGUUGUGCCUGUAAGUAUUUUUCCACGGAAAAGGUGAUCAUUUUUGUGUUUGUGUUGUGUUCAAUUCUCAGAGGGUCUGUUGAUUUAUUCAGCGAUGUUUACUGAGUGCCAGGUGUAUGCUGGGCAUUGUAAUUAUAGGAGGAUACAGCAAAGAACAAGGUGGAUAGGAUCCCUUAUAGAUGAAGGCGGUGGAGGGAGACAUUGAGAAAAUAAAAGUGAACAAACAACCAUGUGUGUUUUGUCUUGUUUUACAACAAGAUGCUCUGGCACUAUGAAGGAAAUAAGCAGGGUGAUGUCAUGGUGUCUGGCUGGGUGGUAGGUGCAGUAGAUAUUGGACUGGCUUUUCCAACUCCAAUUCCCUCCCACUUGAAGCACUGCUUCCUGAACUGCAGCUUGGAUGCCUGCUUCAACUGCCAAAGCAGAAAAGCCAAAACUUUGUUUUUAAUUAAACUGAUGCUUCCAAGGCCCCCUCGUCCUUGGGGUCUGGCUGCGGCCCAGAAGGAGGCAACGAGCAGCGCCAGGCAGUGGGCACUUGUGAGAAGUCUUCCUCUCCAAGAAUCAAGCCUGCAGAACCGGGUCAGGGACAGAGCUGAAUGGUGGACAUCCUGCUGCACUCAAACUCACUCCACCCUUAGGUUGGGUAAUUUUUUUAAGUUUUAUUUAUUAAUUUGA
rnacentral:lncRNA from 1 species